UAAAAUGACAUUUAUAUUAAAAUUUAAAAGUAAAUAAAGUUUUGUAUACUAAUACAAAUAUAUUUGAUACAUAUAACAAAAUAUAUUUAAUGAUAAUGGGAGCGUUUGUUUCUAUUUUAGUUCUGUUUUAUUCUAAUAUCAGUUUAUCUUUUUUGAUAGCAGCGCUUACAUCGAUGUGGAUGGCAAUAUUUCGGCAAAUGAUAAAAGUAAAAAUGAGAGUUGCACUAAAAAGAAAACCAAACCAAAAACUUCUAAACAAUCAAGAAGAAAAAGCCUGACCAGACAUUUAAAAUUAAAUUUCAGAAAAAAUAAACUUUCGUUUAUUUUCCCGAAAUUCAACUUGUUUUGCUAAAUAAUUAAAUUAGAUUUAACUACGUUUUUAAGCUUCACUUCUUACGGCAGCUGGCUCUUUAAGCUGAACUUAUUAAAAGAAAUAAAUAAUAAAAGUUGAUAAAUUUUUUAUGAAUAAAAACAGACUAAUCCCUGUUUAUAAAAUUUGUAUCUGUGGGCAAGAAAUGACUAUUCUAAGACUUGAGCGGUGUCAACAAACGCAGUUUGACAGGCGAAAAAUAUUUGGAAAUCAGGACAUAUUAAACAUAAGUAUCAUUGCAUAAAAAAGAUGGUCAAGCUUUAACUUUUUUCUGAACUUAAACUUAUUGUGUUGUAUAUAAACAAUAUGUAUUAAAUAUGAUAUAUGAACUCUAAUAAACUUUUAUUGAAAUACAAAAUGUUUUAUAGUUUA